rnacentral:rRNA from 1 species
CCUACGGGCGGCAGCAGUGGGGAAUAUUGGACAAUGGGGGGAACCCUGAUCCAGCCAUGCCGCGUGUGUGAAGAAGGCCCUCGGGUUGUAAAGCACUUUCAGUGAGGAAGAACGCCUGGUGGUUAAUACCCAUCAGGAAAGACAUCACUCACAGAAGAAGCACCGGCUAACUCCGUGCCAGCAGCCGCGGUAAUACGGAGGGUGCGAGCGUUAAUCGGAAUUACUGGGCGUAAAGCGCGCGUAGGUGGCUUGAUAAGCCGGUUGUGAAAGCCCCGGGCUCAACCUGGGAACGGCAUCCGGAACUGUCAAGCUAGAGUGCAGGAGAGGAAGGUAGAAUUCCCGGUGUAGCGGUGAAAUGCGUAGAGAUCGGGAGGAAUACCAGUGGCGAAGGCGGCCUUCUGGACUGACACUGACACUGAGGUGCGAAAGCGUGGGUAGCAAACAGGACUAGAUACCCUAGUAGUC